rnacentral:misc_RNA from 1 species
UGAGUAACCCACAUAAUCUUUUUUUUAGUGAGAAUCGAACAUCGAUAUGCAUUGAAUAGAAAAAAGAUUAUGUGGGUUACUCAUUUCAUAAAAGAAAACUAAACUUUCUAUAACUACUUCAAUCCCUUACAAACGAGGGUUAGAUUGACAUUUACUUUUUCAGAAGUUUGGUGUCCAGUUGAGAUGACCCAGUUGAGGCUGCUGAUAUGCACCAACUUGCGCCCCAGGAGCGGCUGGGGCAACCCCAACUCCAACAUUACCACCAAUAACUGGACCCAAAUGAUGUGGAUUUGCCA